rnacentral:lncRNA from 1 species
UUCGAGAUGCUUCAUCUUGUCAGACGGCAAGGUAAGUUUCUAGAAAACGUGAGAAACUAUAAUCACAGGUGGAAUUCUCAAUUAAUUAUAUACCUGAUUAUGAAAAUUAGUUGUCCCUAUGGAUUCUAGUGACUAAAAACCCAACUAAUGAUCAUAUGUUUGUUCUUUUAUCUUUGGCUUGUCGUUGCCAGAAUUAGGUGUUUAACGAAUUGCUAAAGAUUUUCUCUCUCUCUCUCUAUCUCUCUCUCUCUCUCUCUCUCUCUCUCUCUCUCUCUCUCUCUCUCUCUCUCUCUCUCUCUCUCUAUAUAUAUAUAUAUAUAUAUAUAUAUAUAUAUAUAUAUAUAUAUAUAUAUAUAUAUAUAUAUAUAUAUAUAAAGCCUUCUCUUUGCAUCCUUUGUAAGCAAAACUUGUAGAGAAAGCUUUAAUUAAAGCAAUACACAAAAAUUACAGCACCCCCACCUUUCAUGGAGGUUUGACCAUGCCAAAGAUUACAUGAAGGAGAAAGAACUUAGAUGACUAAAUCGCAUAACACCUGAGAAUUAUUCCUCAUCAAGAGAAAGCCAAAAAUUCAACAAGGACCUGAAAUAUGGGGAAGAAGAAGACCACGAAUGGGGAGCGACAACAACCAAGAAUGGAAAAGAUGGGGAGAGUCUGGAAAAAGACAUUGUAAAAGAGAGAUUAUUUUAGAAUUUUCCAGGUGUAGCAUAUUGAUUCGUCAGAUUUGCCAUGUCAGCGGCAUGUGAGAAUCAUGCAUUUUAUUUUGGGCGAAAAAUGUAGUUAGAUGUUUAAUAGGGCACAUUGCUUUGAGUUCAGGGGUUCAAUAGGAACAACCAUUAGUUUAGGUGUUCGAAUAAAAAAAAUGGACAAGUUUAAGGGGAUACAUAUUUAUUCAGCCUUUCUUCAAGGCUCCAUAUAUAUAUAUAUAUAUAUAUA